AGGGGCAUCUUUAACUAGAUAUCAGCAAAGCUGCGUGCUCGGUUGAAGAGGACGACCUUUCCCAAUAGAGACGUGUACCGUUCAUCGGUCAAGGGUAUACGAUAGCUGCACUCCCCUGCUAGAACCUCCAAACAAGCUCAAGGUCCAUUUGUAGGAGAACGUAGGGUAGUCAAGCUUCCAAGAUUGCAGACACAUCCAAGUGAGGCGCUGCAUGGGGCAGUCUGCUAUUGUUU
rnacentral:snRNA from 1 species